GGCGGUGUAGCUCAAUUGGUUAGAGCAAUCGAAUCAUAAUCGAUGGGUCGGGGGUUCGAAUCCCUCCACCGCUA
rnacentral:tRNA from 1 species